rnacentral:rRNA from 1 species
GAUGAACGCUAGCUACAGGCUUAACACAUGCAAGUCGAGGGGAAACGAUAGAGAAAGCUUGCUUUUUCUAGGCGUCGACCGGCGCACGGGUGAGUAACGCGUAUCCAACCUGCCCAUCACUUGGGGAUAACCUUGCGAAAGUAAGACUAAUACCCAAUGACGUCUCUAGAAGACAUCUGAAAGAGACUAAAGAUUUAUCGGUGAUGGAUGGGGAUGCGUCUGAUUAGCUUGUGGGCGGGGUAACGGCCCACUAAGGCGACGAUCAGUAGGGGUUCUGAGAGGAAGGUCCCCCACAUUGGAACUGAGCAACGGUCCAAACGCCUACGGGAGGCAGCAGUGAGGAAUAUUGGUCAAUGGGCGAGAGCCUGAACCAGCCAAGUAGCGUGCAGGAUGACGGCCCUAUGGGUUGUAAACUGCUUUUAUAAGGGAAUAAAGUGAGUCUCGUGAGACUUUUUGCAUGUACCUUAUGAAUAAGGACCGGCUAAUUCCGUGCCAGCCGCCGCCGUAA